UACGUAGGGUGCGAGCGUUGUCCGGAAUUAUUGGGCGUAAAGAGCUCGUAGGCGGUCUGUCGCGUCGGCCGGGAAAACCUGCAGCUUAACUGUGGGCGUGCGGUCGAUACGGGCAUCACUGGAGUUCGGCAGGGGAGACUGGAAUUCCUGGUGUAGCAGUGAAAUGCGUAGAUAUCAGGAGGAAUACCGAUGGCGAAGGCAGGUCUCUGGGCUGACACUGACGCUCAUGCACGAAAGCGUGGGGAGCAAACAGG
rnacentral:rRNA from 1 species